rnacentral:rRNA from 1 species
UACGUAGGUGGCGAGCGUUGUCCGGAUUUACUGGGCAUAAAGGGAGCGUAGGCGGACUUUUAAGUGAGAUGUGAAAUACUCGGGCUCAACUUGAGUGCUGCAUUUCAAACUGGAAGUCUAGAGUGCAGGAGAGGAGAAUGGAAUUCCUAGUGUAGCGGUGAAAUGCGUAGAGAUUAGGAAGAACACCAGUGGCGAAGGCGAUUCUCUGGACUGUAACUGACGCUGAGGCUCGAAAGCGUGGGGAGCAAACAGG